rnacentral:tRNA from 1 species
GGGCCUAUAGCUCAGUCGGUUAGAGCACCUGACUCAUAAUCAGGUGGUCCCAGGUUCAAGUCCUGGUGGGCCCAC